rnacentral:misc_RNA from 1 species
AACCAUAGAAACCUGCGGAGUACCUGCGGAGGGAUCAUUAUAGUAUAUGGAAUCUCCAUUCUAUAAACCCACUCUGCGUAUCUUGUAACUGUUGCUUCCAUGGGACUUGGUUCCGCCACACCGGCUUCACGGCUGGUGAGCGCCCAUGGAAGGGGAAACAAAACUCUUCUUUGAAAUGUAGUCAGUCUGAACAAGUUUUUAUAAACGUUAAAACUUUUAACAAUGGAUCUCAGAUCGGAA